UUGGGAACUCACUGGCUUCAGAGUCAUGGGAACUCCAAAGUUAAGGGAGUUUGGGGCGAGAGCAAUCCCAGGAUGGGUGACCCACUGGAAAGUUGCUCGUGAGUUCCCAGA
rnacentral:rRNA from 1 species